rnacentral:ncRNA from 1 species
UACGAUAAAGGCAAACCCUGAGCGAUCGGGGGACGCAAAGGAAAGGGUCUUGCUAGCGGUUUAAACCGUUUAAACCGCUUAUGAGACAGCCUUACUGCCGAAG